UAACCUGCCCAAGAGACUGGGAUAACACCUGGAAACAGAUGCUAAUACCGGAUAACAACACUAGACGCAUGUCUAGAGUUUAAAAGAUGGUUCUGCUAUCACUCUUGGAUGGACCUGCGGUGCAUUAGCUAGUUGGUAAGGUAACGGCUUACCAAGGCAAUGAUGCAUAGCCGAGUUGAGAGACUGAUCGGCCACAUUGGGACUGAGACACGGCCCAAACUCCUACGGGAGGCAGCAGCG
rnacentral:rRNA from 1 species